GACGAACGCUGGCGGUGUGCUUAACACAUGCAAGUGGAGCGACGAACCAGAGCUUGCUCUGGGGCAGAGCCGCGAACGGGUGAGUAACACGUGGGUAACCUACCCUGAUGACUGGGACAACCCGAGGAAACUCGGGCUAAUACCGGAUGUGCUCUCCUCUCACGAGAGAGGCGAGUAAAGGAAGCUUCGGCCUCCGCAUCAGGAGGGGCCCGCGGCCCAUUAGUUUGUUGGGGGGGUAACGGCCUAUCAAGACUGCGAUGGGUAGCUGGUCUGAGAGGACGAUCAGCCACACUGGGACUGAGACCCGGCCCAGACUCCUACGGGAGGCAGCAGUGGGGAAUCUUGCGCAAUGCGCGACAGCGUGACGCAGCAACACCGCGUGGGGGAAGAAGGCCUUCGGGUUGUAAACCCCUUUCAGGAGGGACGAAGGCCGGCCGGUGAAUAGCCGUGCCGGUUGACGGUACCUCCACAAGAAGCCCCGGCUAACUACGUGCCAGCCGCCGCCGUAA
rnacentral:rRNA from 1 species